UUCAAUGUCUGUCAAUGUUUCCAUGACUAGUUUUUCGUUUUUACACUUUAUUAUUACGAUAUGAUUCAGGUAGAACAAAUGUAAUUUCUAUUUUCUUAGUGUAAGAAAUAAAUUUCUAAAUUCUUUGAGACCCUUGAUGAUUUUAUCCAACUUGCUGAGAUGUUGUGAAGCCAAGACCCUGCUUCAGGGAGAACCUACUUGGUGGAAUAACAUUUUUAUGAGUUACGUGGAUUUGACUGAGGUUUCAGGUAGGACAAAAAAAUAUUUUUGCAUCGUAAGGAAUAAAUUUCUAAAUCAUCUGAGACCCUUGAUGAUAUUAUCUAACUUACUGAGAUGUUGUGAAGCCAAGACCCUGCUUCAGGGAGAACCUACUUGGUGGAAUAACAUUUUUAUGAGUUACGUGGAUUUGACUGAGGUUUCAGGUAGGACAAAAAAUUGUUUUUGUAUCGUAAGAAAUAAAUGUAUAAUUUGGAGACGGAUGACAAUGUCCAAAUUACUGAGAUGUUGCGAAGCCAAAUUCCUUCUACAUUUAUACGAGUGACAUGGAUUUGGCUGGGGAUCCAUAUUUUGCUGUUUAUCAACUAAGUUUAUUCCAUAUUAGAAACUCGUGUUUUUAAAUUCCUGCUUCUGUUUUUGUAUUGUUUUUUUUCCGUUUUCAUAGAUUUAUUUGAUUUCUCAUACUCUUUUCCACCAAAUUGAACUCUCUUGUUGACCUAUAUUUUGUGUUGACCAUAUCUAGCGCAAGCUGCACGAGACUAUGUACAGUUAGUGUGAAAUUUCAAAUGGAUUGUGCAGAUUAGGUAGCACGUUGUAUCGAUUUCACUCAUUUGCUGCUGAUUUGUACGAUCAUGAAGCUGUAUAUAGACAUGGUUGGAGGUCUCGAUUUUUCACAUAACCCACCCCUCUUUCAUAUGAUGCGUUUAUGGUUGUAUUUAGAAGUUGUGAUAAAACAGAAUGUAAAUGGUAGGUUUUCACUGCACAUUUGUUUGCAUGGCGUUGUUGACGCCAAUAUACGAACUUGUUCAAUCUUCCAUUCUGACGUAGAAUCGUUUAGUAUUGUAAGGUUGAGUUUUCGAGCUAAUUGGAUAUGUUUUUAUGAACAAAUAUUUUCCCUGCAAAAAGUUGUUUUUCUUGCAACAUGGGUUGUGGAAUGGCUUUAAUUUAUUAUGGGUGGGAUUUUCCCAGAGAGAGUCUCAU
rnacentral:lncRNA from 1 species